GGAGUUAGCCGGUGCUUCUUCUGCGAGUAACGUCACAGAUGUAAGGUAUUAACUUACACCCUUUCCUCCUCGCUGAAAGUGCUUUACAACCCGAAGGCCUUCUUCACACACGCGGCAUGGCUGCAUCAGGGUUUCCCCCAUUGUGCAAUAUUCCCCACUGCUGCCUCCCGUAGGAGUCUGGGCCGUGUCUCAGUCCCAGUGUGGCUGAUCAUCCUCUCAGACCAGCUAGGGAUCGUCGCCUAGGUGAGCCUUUACCUCACCUACUAGCUAAUCCCACCUGGGCUUAUCCAUCAGCGCAAGGCCCGAAGGUCCCCUGCUUUCCCCCGUAGGGCGUAUGCGGUAUUAGCAGUCGUUUCCAACUGUUAUCCCCCACAAAUGGGCAAAUUCCCAGGCAUUACUCACCCGUCCGCCGCUCGUCAUCUUCAAAAGACAAGACUUUUGUAAAUAGUUACCGCUCGACUUGCAUGUGUUAGGCCUGCCGCCAGCGUUCAAUACUGAGCCACGGAGUACAAACCUAACUGA
rnacentral:rRNA from 1 species